AUACUCUGGUUUCUCUUCAGAUUGCAUAAAUCUUUCACCUUUUACUAAAGAUUUCCGUGGAGAGGAAUGUUUAUGCGUUUGUAGCUAAUUUUUUGAGACCCUGUU
rnacentral:snRNA from 1 species